GCAUAUCAAUAAGCGGAGGAAAAGAAACUAACAAGGAUUCCCCUAGUAACGGCGAGUGAACCGGGAAAAGCUCAAAUUUGAAAUCUGGCGUGCUCAGUGCGUCCGAGUUGUAAUCUAUAGAGGCGUUUUCCGUGCCGGACCGUGUCCAAGUCCCUUGGAACAGGGUAUCAAAGAGGGUGACAAUCCCGUACUUGACACGACGACCGGUGCUCUGUGAUACGUCUUCUACGAGUCGAGUUGUUUGGGAAUGCAGCUCAAAAUGGGUGGUGAGUUCCAUCUAAAGCUAAAUAUUGGCGAGAGACCGAUAGCGAACAAGUACCGUGAGGGAAAGAUGAAAAGCACUUUGGAAAGAGAGUUAAACAGUACGUGAAAUUGUUGAAAGGGAAACGAUUGAAGUCAGUCGUGACUGAGAGGCUCAGCCGGUUCUGCCGGUGUAUUCCCCUCAGUCGGGUCAACAUCAGUUUUGUCCGGUGGAUAAGGACGUUAGGAACGUGGCACCCUCGGGUGUGUUAUAGCCUGGCGUCGCAUACAUCGGAUGAGACUGAGGAAUGCAGCUCGCCUUUAUGGCCAGGGUUCGCCCAUGUCCGAGCUUAGGAUGUUGACAUAAUGGCUUUAAACGACCCGUCUUGAAACACGGACC
rnacentral:rRNA from 1 species